AUUGAACGCUGGCGGCAGGCCUAACACAUGCAAGUCGAACGAGUGGCGGACGGGUGGGUAAUGUAUGAGCAACUGCCUGAUGGAGGGAGCUAACUACUGGAACCGGUAGCUACUAACGCAUACCAUCAGAUGUGCCCAGAUGGGAUUAGCUAGUUGGUGGGGUAACGUCUGAUCAAGGCGACGAUCCCUAGCUGGUCUGAGAGGAUGACCAGCCACACUGGGACUGAGACACGGUCCAGACUCCUACGGGAGGCAGCAGUAGGGAAUAUUGGGCAAUUGGCGAAAGCCUGAUGGAGCCAUGCCGCGUGUAUGAAGAAGGCCUUCGGGUUGUAAAGUACUUUCAGCGGGGAGGCGUUACCCGCACAAGAAGCACCGGCUAACUCCGUGCCAGCAGCCGCGGUAAUAC
rnacentral:rRNA from 1 species